rnacentral:rRNA from 1 species
UACGUAGGGUGCGAGCGUUGCCCGGAUUUAUUGGGCGUAAAGGGCGCGUAGGCGGCCACGCACGUCCGUUGUGAAAUCGCCCGGCUCAACUGGGGUAGGUCAGCGGAUACGGUGUGGCUCGAGCAAGCUAGGGGGCAAUGGAAUUCCCGGUGUAGUGGUGGAAUGCGUAGAUAUCGGGAGGAACACCAGUGGCGAAGGCGGUUGCCUGGAGCUUUGCUGACGCUGAUGCGCGAAAGCGUGGGGAGCGAUCCGG